UAGCUUUGAGGUGGUAAACUUCGUUGCAACCACGCGCCCUAGUGGCUAAAAGAGAUGCAGGAGCCGCGACGCCUGCCGAGGUCA
ncrna:unclassified sequences skipping-rope RNA